rfam:Dipodomys ordii contig_60388, whole genome shotgun sequence.
GGUGGCUUAGUGGUAGAGUACUUGCCUAGCAUGCAUGAAGCCCUGGGUUCGAUUCCUCAGUACCA